AGAGAAGAUAGAGUCCAGCAGUAUUGAAUUAGUCGAUUCCUUGUAUGCAAGGCCUUAUUCAAAUAAUUUAUACGAUCGUCCAGAUAACAUUCUUGAUAGAAAGGCAAUGGAUAAAGAAAAGCGAAUAGAAAUUGAAAGAAAACAAAUUGCGAGUCUAUAUAGUUUUGGAGGAUUUUCAAUGGGAGAAUUUCAAGAUGAAGAGGUAGCAUAUGGUAACGACCGUGGAACAAAAUACGGAAAUAUCAUGUAGAUAUGUGUAUACAACUAUAUAAACUCUUACAUGAUAAGCAACGGUUUCUUAGACAAACAAAUGUUUACCUAUACCAAAAUAUGCAUGUUUACUUGAACAGUAUUAGU